rnacentral:tRNA from 1 species
AAGGGCUUAGCUUAAUUAAAGUAGUUGAUUUGCAUUCAGCAGAUGUAGGAUAAAGUCUUGCAGCCCUUA